CGAGCUGUUUCUGUUCUACGUGCUUGGCUUUUCGAGCAUUUCCUUCAUCCGUAUGCACUUCUUCAACUAAAUAACUGAGAACUAGCCAAAAAAAAAAAAACCUCUUUUUCAUUUUGAACUCAUCGGAAACUCCUUAACUUUGGGUGCAGCUAUCCUAAAGAUUCAGACAAACACAUGCUCGCCAAACAAACUGGGCUUACAAGAAAUCAGGUACAUAGCCUAACUUGUUUAAUUUAAUGAUCUUUAUUCUUUAUUUGUAUUAAAAAACAUAGGGCACGUUGGUUCGCAGGUGUCAAACUGAUUUAUAAAUGCUCGAGUCCGCCUGUGGAAGCCAAUGGUUGAAGAGAUGUAUUUGGAGGAAAUGAAGGAACAUGAAAGGAAGGGUGGUGAAGAAAAUAUAAACAAAAGUGAGCAAAAGGAGUCAGGGUCUACCAGCUCCAAAUCCAAUGCCCAGCAGCAAGAGAUGAAUGCUUCCCCUACUCAUCAAAUUUCCAACUCCACUAUCUCCACAUCUCCCAUGGAAGGGUCCCUUAUGCCGCCGCAAACAUCCUUCAAUAUCAUCGGAUCAUCUGAACUUGACAAUGGCGUGGGCGUGGCUCAAAGAGCUUCAAAAAAGUCAAGGAAUGUUAAUGAUGAGUUGCAGAAUUCUCCCGUGGAGAUGAAGCCGGGUGAAACGUGGGAAACUAACAUCAACAUGAUUAAGCUCGGCGAUGAAGAAAGUCUACUCAAACACAGUUUUUCAUACUUGAGUGGAACAACUUACACUAGUAUGGGAGAGAUUGGGAGGUUUAAUGAAGAACAGCAACUGCCACCAAAAUUCCAUGGAAACAGUGUUUCCCUCACCCUCGGACUUCCUCAUUGCGAGAAUCUAUCUCUAUCGAGGAACCCACAAAACUUCCUAUCGAACCACAACAUUCAACUUGGGAUCAACACCCCGC
rnacentral:lncRNA from 1 species